rnacentral:misc_RNA from 1 species
AACGCACAUUGCGCCCGCUAGUAUUCUGGCGGGCAUGCCUGUCUGAGCGUCAUUUCAACCCUCACGCCCGGCUUCGUGUCGGGGGUGGUGUUGGGGAUCGGCCUCCCGUUUGCGGGCGGCCGGCCCCGAAAUAGAGUGGCGACCACGCCGUAGCCUCCUCUGCGUAGUAGUUAAAAACCUCGCAGGCGGAGAGCGGUGCGGCCUGCCGUAAAACCCCCCAACUCUUCUAAGGUUGACCUCAGAUCAGGUAGGAAUACCCGCUGAACUUAA